AGUCUCGUGGGGCAAUGGUAGCCCGCCUCACUCAUACUUGUAUCUUGAGUACAGGCGAUGCUGGUUCGAUUCCAGCCGAGACGG